UGAGGAACAUGACUUUCGGCGGGGGAUAGCCGGCCCAACGGCCGGGUAAUACCGCGUACGACCUUUUGGGGACAUCCCCGAUUGGUGAAAGCAGCAAUGCGCCGAAAGAGUGCCUCGCGGCCUAUCAGCUAGUUGGUGAGGUAAUGGCCCACCAAGGCGACGACGGGUAGCCGGCCUGAGAGGGUGACCGGCCACACUGGGACUGAGACACGGCCCAGACUCCUACGGGAGCAG
rnacentral:rRNA from 1 species